rnacentral:lncRNA from 1 species
GGAGUUGGACUAGAACACUGCUAAAUGGAGUUUGAACUAGUCAUAGAGGGAGUAGAGGAGAAAUAGGUAGAGUGAAUCAAGGAAGGAUAAGGGGAGAGUUUUUAGGAGAAAAUCAAGGAAUUUGAGAAGGGGGAGUGUUGUGCCGUUUGGGUGUUAUUCAACUUUGAAAAUUCGGGUAGGGGGAGUUUUGAGGGUCAUUUUCGACUUUUGAGGAGCUUUUGGUUUUUAUAUUAUUUUAUUUUUCUCUCUGUCUACCUCGGUGGGUGAGCAUUUUUAUUUUCUCCUUUUUCUUUUGGUGUCAAAUCUUGCAAAGACUUCAAAGUACCUCUCGGGUUUGUUCAUUUUGUUUUUCUACGUUUCCUUUUAUGCCCUUUUUGUUUUGGCCGAAUUGUCUUUGGUUCUUUCCUCUUUUCUUUGUGGCUGAAUAUUGCCUUUCUUUCUUCUUCUCUCUUGGUCGUAUACUGCCUUUCUCUCCCUCUUCAUCUAUUCAAUUCUG